CCCGCGCACCGGAUACGACAAAAUGAAUGAUUUUUCAAGAAAAAUAAUAUUUUUCUGACUGAAUAAAAAAAAUUCAAACAUGUUCAAACUAUUAUUCCUGAUGUCGGUCUUCCCUUGAUAUUAAAAAAAAAUCACACAUAAGGUAUUGGGGUCCUUUUCGACCCCAAACUUUAAAAAAUCGGCAAAAAUCUAGUUUUUGACUGAUUCCGGUUCUUUAAGUCACAAAUGAAAGCAUAGAACGUCCCCUUUCCGAAACCGACCUGGAAAACCGGAUUUGGCCACUAAGGCCACCGGGAAUCAGCUACAACCGAAAAAAGACCUUUUUGAGACCUCAACUUUGACGACCUAUAUCUCCGGAAAAUUUCAACCAAUCAUGAUGCUCCGGGUUACAUUCGACAGGUACUUUGACCACAAAUAUUAAUAUCAGGGCCAGGUGACCUAAUGGUUCCGGAAAUCCGGAACAUCCGGAAAGUUCCUGUUUUAUUGUUUUUCACGUAUAUGUAAUACAUCCUGUCCAAUCUGGAACCGGUUACGGUGGUCCCUUGGGGACACUUCCGGAAUAUGAGAAAAACCCUAUCAUCCGACAUAUUAAACUUCAUGAAAUUGAAGGAUAUGUCAAUCUACGGUCAUUCCGUUGUUCGCUGGCCCAUUCUGGCUAAACUAGAAGCGGUUACCGGUAGCCCCUUGGAGGAUGAUGAUGGCCCUCCACUAACCCCCGCCCAUGGGAUUACAUGAAGUUUAUUUAUCUUGUUAGAUAUUUUUGUAAUUUAACUGUGUUUUUGAUUCAUUAUUUAUGUAUUCUUUUUCUUGUUUUAAACCAUGCGCGUCCAUCAAAAAACCUUUAUUUCUUUAACAUUGCAUUGAACAGGGACCAUCUGGGUAUUGACAUUAUUUCCCCCCGCCCCAUCUCACACACAUAUGAGUCCAUUCAAGGGUUUUACCGCGCCCAGAGUCGCGUUGCUUUUGAUCGAUUUGUCAUAUGAGGCCCAGAGACGUUUGUUUUCGUGUACCCAAAGAGACUUGUACCGUUAUACGGAUGCCGACUGUCAUAACGUGCCUCCUUCACAGCAACCCUCUAGGGAUUUAACAACUUCACAAAUUAACAUUAUUCUUAACGAAACACAAACAAUGCCGUUUAAACACAUUAAAACUGUCCUCAUUUUUUACUUCACUUGGCAAAUUGUUGUAUAAUUUUAUGCCCUUAUAAUAUAAAGAGUUCUGUGAAGAUGCAAGUGAAAACGAAGCAGCUCUUAUUUCAUCUGCAAACCGAGUUCUAUGUGAAUGUAUGUCUCGUCCCCUUUAUAUCCUUUCAUUAAAAUACUCUGGAGCUUGGCCUUUUGCAAUUUUGUGCACCAACAUUAAUGUCAAAAACGUUACUCUUUGUCUCACUGAUAGCCACUGCAGUGUAUCCAGCAUAACUCGCCUAGGUGUCCUUCUGUUGCACUUGAGAAUUAAUCUCAUCACUUUGUUUUGUAGUUUUUGCAGUCUAUUCAUUUGUUGUUCAUUUGCCAGAUACAAAAUUGAGGGACAAAAAUCGAAGUGGGGAGAUAUCAACGCUUUGUACAAAAAUAUUAAGCUCCACUGUGACAAUUCCUUCGACAAUCUACACAAAACACCAAACUUCUUCGCAAUUUUCUUCACUAUAUGGUCAAUAUGCUGCUUAAAACUCAGUUUAUCAUCUAUCAAAACGCCAAGUGAUAUUUACACAAUAUGUGUCGCUCAUCCUGAGCCAUUGGCUGACAAGUUAUACGCUGUAACGAAAUCGUUUUUGGAAGAGCAUGUCAAAAACUUGCUAAACACUAAGGUGACGCCAUCGUCGUUAUGUACAACAGAAAGCAAUCUAGGGAAUGAUUUGUUGCAUCGUUACCAUGAAGUGUGGUUGGAAUACAGUAAAGGUGUGGAGUAUCUUAAUUACUUGUACUUUGAGGAACCGGGACGUGCCUGGCCAGCGGCGCCCAAUGCCACCAGUGAUCUGCUGGCCAUUCUUGGUGUUAAGCAGAAUUUUAUGCUUGCCAGCUUCGACGGCACUUUUACGCCAACGGGAAUUCCAAGCUAUUUCUAAUUCGCAGCGGCUUCAAGUUGGACAAUGUCUUCGACUAAGGUGAGCAGCUCGUUUUUAACCGGAUCUGACCCUUCCUCGCCGACAGGGCACAGAUAGAAAAGUUUUGCAAGCUCUCCGAAGAUUUCCGGCGGUACGGCAACCAGAUGUGCCAAUGCGUACGGCUUUCUGCAUUUUCUUCCUGAUGAGAUGGCUUUCCCUUGACUGCCCACUACAACCUCGACUGGUGCUUCACUCGGCGUCGGUAUAUUUGAACCAGAACCUUUCCGGUUUUUGUAAGUUUGAGCAGAAUACUGUUAGUUCGCAGCAUAUCGUUGAAAAAGGUAAAAUUGAGGUGUAAAUUUUUGUUCAAAUUUAAAAUAAAAGUAAAUAGCAACUUG